UGCUUUUCACCUGAAGCUUUUCUUUCUUCAUUUUCCCAUUUCGAGCUAGGGAUUGCAUCUUAAGCCGUAAAAAAGUUCAUAAAAAAGUCUGUUUAUGAAGGUCAGAAACUUUUUAUCAUCUAGAUUGAAAUAUCUUGUAGUGGGGAGAAGGUAAAGUUUAGACUAAGGUUUACAACAAAUGCCAACUAUUGAAAUCAUGAGGGAUACCUUUGCAUCCGGAAAUGGUUCAAAUGAAGAAGUUGAAAUUGUCAUUGCUUCACCUUAUGGUCAAUUGGCUGACAAGCAAACAAGAAUUAGACACUUAAAAUUGUAUCAAGCUGCACUAAGUGGUGAUUGGAGCAUGGCUGAG